AAACCCCAUAUCUGUACGUGUCCUUUUUUGUAGGAUGUGCAGCUGGUUUGUGUUUCCAGUAUUCUUCUCCCACGUUUGAAUUUUGUGAUCCUCAUUUUUGAAUUUUGAAUGGACUUAUCCAUUUCAAUUAGUGGUUAUUUUCGCUAUUUUAUAUUGAUAUCAUGUGAGAUAGUUAGAUGGAUUCUCUAUUUUUGGAUGCUUGAGGCUAUUACGUUUAGAAGGUUUUAUCGAGCUUCUCUACAACAUCGACAUUGCUGUCUGUGGUUUUGUUUCUGUUUGGAUCCCUCAUGGCGUUGAAACGGUGGAAUCCAUCCUGGCGUUGGAAAGUUGGAAAAAGAAAAUUGCAAAAAUUGCAAAAAAGUUGGAGGAAGUCAAAGAGCAAAAAUUGCCGAGUUGUUUGUGAUAAACCAAAGAAGCCUGAAUCAACUAUGCUUGCUGCUGCAGUAUAAUCUCGCUGUGAUAUUGUUGUUGCUGUUUAGUUCAGUAUGGACAAGGAGUUCGAGACUUAUAUUGAAUUGUAAUUUGUGUAUGUCUUGUAUAUUAGUUCAUAUUAGGAGUAUACAAAAAUAUGUUCUUCAUUGUAUCUUUCAGUUUGUUCUUUGAUCUUUUCUUUUUUGUUGAAAAUAAAUAUAAACGUACCAAUAA